CGAGACCUCAGGUCAGGCGGGGCUACCCGCUGAAUUUAAGCAUAUCAAUAAGCGGGAGGAAAAGAAACUAACAAGGAUUCCCUUAUAACGG
rnacentral:rRNA from 1 species